GGCGCAGGCGCAGUCGAGGGGCCUGGCCGGCUCCCCCGCCCCAACCCCGGAGUCCCGGGGCUCUGCUCUCCGCCGGGCUCCUGCUGCCGUCGCCGUCCGUCGCCUCUUCCUCCGUCUCCGUCCUGCUGCCUCGCAGGCCUGCUUUCCUCUUGCUCCUCCGGGGAUCUUGGCCUUGCUCCUCUUCUCUCCGGAGCGGGCAGUGACACCCCGACGCCUACCUCCCGCGUGUGUUUUGAGUGUUCUUUCUACCUCAUAAAACUGUGGCAUCCAAGAGCUGGAAGGAGUCUCAAGAAGUCAUUGCCCAUUGGACACGGGACCAGAUAUUGAAACUGUCUUUCCAAGAUUAUUGGAGCCUCCUUGCCAAACUCCAGCUUCUGCCAGAACAAACACACCCAACCAAAAUGGUUUAAAGACCUUAGCAUUCUGAGAAUCUGAAGCAGCCAGAGGGGCUCUUUGUACACCCCGAGCAGAGGCAACAGAGCACCAGCUUGAAGGUGGAAAGCCUGGGGCCUUAUGUGAAACUCAGCCAGCUGUGGAACCUCCCCGGACCUCCCCUGUAACACAGAGCCACUAACUGCCUCAGCUGGACCAUGGCUUUACCGGGAAGAGUCUGGGCCACGGAGGAAAAUAGGACUGGUGGUGGUGUGCCGUGGUGGUGAUGAGUGACACUCCACAGUGGCCCUGGCCAAAUGUCAACCCCACCAAGGAGCAGCGUGGUGAAGCCACAUGGAAAAUGGUGCAGGACAAACCACGUGCAAGAGGCAGCAUCUGUAGCAGGACUCACAGAUGCCCUGGAAGGGAAGGUAGGUCAUGGGACACCUCCUUGGAGACCCUUCUUCUUCUUAAGACUGUCUGUAUGUGUCAGUUCAGCUGUGGUAACAAGCAGUCCCAAAGUCUUAAGGGAUCACAAUGACAACAAACAUUUCUUUCUCACUCACAUCACACGUGGGUGACUGUCACCUAUGGCUCCCGGGGCUUUCUUUGUAUCAUGACUUCCUACUCCAGGGAAGCUGUAGGAGCUGCCCCAUUUGGGUCAGCAGGUACAGUGGUGGAAGCUCUCGCCGAUGCAUGGUAAAGUUGCUGACACCUGGAACAUACUGGCACAUUCAUUCAUAUUCCAUGGGCCUCGUCAGGUCACACGAUCGAGCCCAAAGUCAGUAAGGUGAAAAUAUGUUACUCUCAGCGGGAGGAGGCCAUGGAUACUCUCUGCCUCCCUUCCCAGAGGGGCUUUGACAGCUCAGCAGCCUCCUCUAUGCAAGCUGGGUUUGUUCUAACAAUAUUGUGAAAUAAUAGCAAAUGCAAGAGUAAUAAACAUUCCCUGGCCCCUG